CCGAGUUUACAACUCCCAAACCCCUGUGAACAUACCUUUAUGUUGCCUCGGCGGAUCAGCCCGCGCCCCGUAAAACGGGACGGCCCGCCGCAGGAAACCCUAAACUCUGCUUUUAGUGGAACUUCUGAGUAUAAAAAACAAAUAAAUCA
rnacentral:misc_RNA from 1 species